AUUGAACGCUGGCGGCAGGCCUAACACAUGCAAGUCGAGCGAUCGGCGGCCGGGUGAGUAAUGUAUGGGGACUGCCCGAUAGAGGGGGGUAACUACUUGAAAAGGUAGCUCAUUCCGCAUACUAUCGGAUAACCCAUCGGGGGUUGGCUCGUGGGUGAGGUAAUGGCUCACCAAGGCGACGAUCCCUCGCUGGUCUGAGAGGAUGAUCAGCCACACUGCGACUGAGACACGGCCCAGACUCCUACGGAGGCAGCAGUGGGGAAGUUUGCACAAUGGGCGCAAGCCUGAUGCAGCCAUGCCGCGUGUAUGAAGAAGGCCCUAGGGUUGUAAAGUACUUUCAGUCGGGAGGCGUUACCGACAGAAGAAGCACCGGCUAACUCCGUGCCAGCAGCCGCGGUAAUAC
rnacentral:rRNA from 1 species